GUAACACCCCUGGUGUUACGUAAACUAAAACUCUGACAUGUCAUCAUAAGCAUCUGCAUUAAUGUGCUUGUUACACCUAGAAUGCAUUUACUAGGUUAAAACUUUACAAAAAGUGUGAUGUUGUGUGUUGAGUAGUGGACUUAGUUAAGGACCUGUUUUAAGCAAAAUGAGGGAAGAUCAUCUCUUGAGCAAGUAACAAAUUGGCUUGGGGUCUUAAAUGUUAAAGGUAAGUCUUAGAGCCUAGAGUAGCCUUGUUUUGGAAUGAUGGUCAAGUGGAAGAAGCACUUAAGAAGCUAGAAUAACUCCAAACCUUAACUUUAGCUUUGCUUGGAAUAGAUGGUUAAGUAAAGGAAAUUCUAAACCAGGACAUUUUGGAUAUGAGCUAUGUGUAUCAAAGAUUGGAUCUUGAGCUAGAGUGUAACUUUGCUCUAGGUGGAGGGAUCAAAGGGAUGAAUCCCUAGAAGAAGCUGAAACACAAAUGAAACUCAUUUGAAACCCUAAAACUAGCCCAAAAGGGGAAUUCAAGAUCUAGAAGGAUUUAGCUAAAAGUCCAUAUAUCAAAGUUGUAGAGCUUGGAAAAGUGGAUAUAUUUCUUAUUUGGAUAUUUCCAAGUUCUGUGAAGAAAAUUGGAGUAAAUCACAAAAGUUCAGUUUUGAGCUCAAAUUGGAAUUGCUGAAAAUAGUAGCAACUAGGCAAUUUUGGUCCUUUAUAACUUCUGAUCUAUAAACAUUUUGAAGAUGGUCAUUAUAACAGAGUUAUAGAGCUACAUGAGUAGUAUAAGUUUGGUUGAGUCACCUAGCUCUAAAGCUAUUUGGAACUUAGAGAAAAACUGGUCCAAAGUAGAGCUAACAGACUUUCUGGAUUUCAGACUUGGUAGAAUUCAGAGUCUGAAUUUCAGCAAUUGGAGCAAACUUUGAGCUAUUGUAGUUUGGAAUCCAAGAGGUUUUGGUUAAUGACCGCUAUAGGAAACUUGUAGAAUAAGUAUAAUAGAACAACUGUUAUUAAGUGUCACAGCCCUGGAACUAUAUACAACUAGGAGAAAAAGGUGUUCAAAGUUGGACUAUCAGCUAGGUGGCUGAAUUCUGAAUUUUCAGAUUUGGAAUGGUAUAUAAGUCUGAAUUUCAGUGAUUGUGACAGACUUUGGAGCUUCCUUGUGCAUAAUCCAUAAGGUUUUGAACUAUGGUUUUUAUAGAGGAAUUGAAGACCAUAUGUUGGGGAACAACUUUCUUCAAGUGUGUUUGGAAUGAUCCUAUACAAAAAGUGGAUAAAAACUUUGCCAAAGUUGGAUUAUCAGGUUGUUGGUGACUUAGUUUAUUCAGAACUGAAAGUCUGAAAUCAAUAUUUUUAGUGCAGUUUUGGAGCUGUGUAGUGUCUGUUCUAGGUGGUUUUAAACCGAAAUUUCUGUAGAAAGUUUGAAGACCAUGUCAUGGGGAACAUGUCUCUUGAAGUGAGUGGGCCUAGUACUGUACAAGGUUGUGAGUAAAAUUGCUCCCAAACUUGCCCUGUCAGAAUUAGUGUAUGCUGUUUCAGAUCUCUGAAACUGAGUUUUUAGUGUUUUUCUUUAGAUUUUGGAGCUUGUUUGUGAUUGAUCCAAGGGGUUUAAGCCUAAGGUCCCUGUGGAGAAGUGGUAGAGAGUCAUUUGGUCGACAAGUUUUGUUAAACUUGCUCCCCCUGUUGCCAUGGAAAACUGAGAGUUUGCAGGGGGUCAACAGGGAGGUGUGCAGAUAAAACAAUAGGCUGAUGCAGUUGAGUUCAGUGUGGUAUAUGGAAUCUGAAGAAGAUCUGUUGCUUUUUGCUAGUGCCACUCGAGUAUGGGAUGGAGAUAAGAUUGAGAUACAUCACUAAAAGUCUAGAGACCACUCCCCACUAAAAUAUCCAAGGAUUUUGGACUGUUUUGGAGCAGUGAGCUAUGGACAGCAGAAUCCCUGUUGAUUUUGUUUGCUGCCUGCAGUAAUGGACAAAACUGAUAUUUAGGAUUAAGAUAAGGAUGAACUGGACAGCAAAUUUAGUGGCCUCAUCCCUGUACGAAAUAUCAAGUGUUAGACCUGUUUGAGCCUAUCCUCAAGUGGGAUAUUUUUGGGUUCCUAGCUGCCCUCUCUUAUCUGCAGUAGGAGACAAAAAUUGAUAUUUUGACCAUAUAAGAUGGACCAAGUUCUGUGUCUUUGUCUGUGCUGUGAAUCUGCAUGAUAGUAGUGCAUGGGAGCCACGUCUUUGAGUCCAUGUUGUGCUGGCACACUGGAAAACACAUCCCCUCUGCAGGUUUGCCAAGUUCAGAGAACACCUAUCCCAUUUCAGGUAUUUAAAGGGCAGGGAGCAGUGGAAAUCUCCUCUCUACCUCGAGCUCUACUCGCAUACCACUGCAUGGGUGUUGGGGUUCUUGUAUCCCUGCUAGUGAUGACCCUCUCCCACAGCCACCAAGUCUGCUCUGUCCAGAGAAUCAAGUGCCAGUGGUGACCAUGCUCACAAUUCUUUACCCCACCAUAGCCAGAACAUUCUAGGGAGUUGCUGGCCUAUAUGAAGCUUGUUCCAUAAUCAUCUCAGGUCAGUGAAGCUCACACCAAUUACUACUUGAACUCUACCACUAUUGGUUGCCUGGAACUAGGUGUGAAAUUUGGUCUAAAAUAGGGUUGUCAGAUUUCAGACUUAGUGCAAAUUCAGAGUCUGAAUUUGUAUGUUUUGGGUGCAGCUUUGGAGCUCUUUGCUGCUCUAUCCAUAGAGCUAUAGCUUAUGGCCACUAUAACAAAGUUAUAAAUCUAUUCUAGGAGUACAAGUUUGAUUGAGUGAUCUGGCCUAAAAACUAUACAGAACUGAUUGUAAAGCUUGCUCAAAACUGGGCCAUCAACUUCUGGGUUUCAGACUUAGCUAAUUGGCUAAUUCUGAAUUUCAGUAAACUUUAGCCAUGUUUGGACCUUUGUAGUGGCUAACCUGUAGGGAAUUAAAUUAGGUCUCUUAUAGCAAAGCAAUAGAGCUAUAGUAGAAGACCAGGUUUGGUUGAAGGCCAUACCCUAGAAGCUAUUUGAAAUUGGAGAAAAGGGUUGGCUAAAGUUGGACCGUCAGACUGUACAUAACUGAAUUUUGUUAUUCAGUUCUGUAAACUGAAUUACAGCAGGAUGCCUAGUUUGGAAUUCAUUUGUGACUGAUUCAUGGGGUUUUGGAUUAAGGGUUCCAUAGCAAAGUUGUAGACCAUAGUAAAGUGAACAAGUUUUCUAAAGUGAGAUGGACCUGAUUUCACAUAAAUUUGGGAGUAAAAGUAGCCAAAAGGUGGACUGUCAGGUGUUAGAAUUCAGACUUAGAAUAAUAUUUAAGUCUGAAUUUGUGUGUUUUUAUUUAAUUUGGGUCCUUGUGGUUAUUAAUCCAAGAAGAAUUAGUGUAGAAGUGUUAUAGCAAAGUGAAAGACCAUGUUAUAAGGAACAAAUCUCCUUAAGUAAGUUAGGAUUGAAUCCACAUAAAGUAGGAAAUAACAGCUGUCCAAAACUGGACUGCCAGAGUGACUGUGACUGAAUUUUAUUCAGUUAGCUGAAAUAGCAGUUCAGUGUGGGUUAGUGCUUUGGAAAGGAGAUAAGUUUAUCUAGGAAAGAGAUAAAGUUGCUUAAGAAGUUUUAUGCUUUUGGAUGAGAUAUAAGUUGGAUUAAUUCCCUGGUUUACCUAAGUGAAUUCAAAUUGGUCACUUUAAUCGAGCGAUAAGAAAUAGGUACAUUCUUGUCAUGCGCUUUAGUUGUAGUGUUUCUGUUCUCCAUCUCUCUUUGUGAUAGUUUGCAUUACAUGGCAUUCAUUCUUAUAUAUAUACCUAUAUGGUUAUAUUUAGAAAACGGAGAAGAGGGUGAAGUGACUGAAGAAAAGACAUCACCACCUUUGGAAUCUCAGGCAGAGACUUGGCUCUACUUCGACAUCUGCGAGUCCGAGCCUGACUCACCUACUAACAAAGGCAAGCCCCGGUGCAUGCAACCCCUUCCUUGUGUUUUUAAAUACUUUUCGCACACUUUAAGUCUAGUGAAAUGUGCAUUAAGUUUAUAGGAGUUGCUUGAAACCCUUUGAUGCAUUGCUUUCCUUGAUAUCCAUACCUUUAUAGAUACUUCUGGUGAAGUAUCAAAAUAUGAUUUACAAGAAUGCUUAGCCCUGCUUAGAUCUUGUGGAUAGAGGUUGUCCUUAGCCUAGCUCGAGAAAGGAUGACUUCUACCUGCAAGAAUAUUUUCAUUUGGAGCAAUGGUGGGAUCUUACUGCAAAGUUCCCUGUGAUGCUCUUUUCAUCCUAAGGAACAGAAACAAUCCUAAGGAUGGAAGUACUUAAAUCGAGACUUGGGCUAGGAACAGGUGAUGCUCCGCCCGGGUCAAUUAAGGAUUGGAUGCGUAUGUAGGCCUGUUGAUCAAGGACUAUCUUAUCUAGCCACAUGCCCUGGGAAUGGGACAGGGUAAGCUUGAACCCGGCUAUUCCAUGCAUGAAAAGACAAUCGCGCACUGGGAGUGGAGAGAUGGCGAGAGUGGCACGUACCCUCCUGGCAAAGGAUCGCCUAAAAAGGGUGGUGUGCUCUCGGGUGGCGCGGACCUGUUCAUGCAGUGGAGGAUCCGUGGGAAUAGUAGACAUCAAGGUUUACGAGAAACAUAUGUCGUGUGGUUAGAGAUCCUCAGCUGAGUAAAUCGAUUCGGAUCGCCGUUAUAUCCCCGGAGAGUGGAGACUUGAGCUCCGACCUACAACCUAAGUCAAGAUGUGAACACUAUGAAUAAAAAUGAUGUUGUACUGAUGAGAUGAUGAAAUUAGACUAGAGGCAAACAGAGUCUAUUAAAAUUUAAUCUGGCGUUAAAAUGUUGAAAGUAAGGACUCACUUUAGUAAGCUAUUUCUGCAAAAGUAUAUAAGUUGAUUCUUGCUAAAGCCUCUCCUUGAUUCCUAUUUAUCCAGCAUACCCUUGAGAGUCUUUUCUUUAGUCGGGUAAGACUUGCUGAGUAAUUCCAUACUCAGGGUUUAUCCCUUUGUUGUUUUUAGGUGAGGUAGCGACAAAUUUUUGUUGCUUUGGCUCCAAGGUGGUAUCAAAUGAAGAAAAACAAGAGUGAAGAUGUGGGAGGACGUGGUCCUCCAUAUAGGACUUUUUGUUUAAAGUUAUCGGGAGGAGUUUUUGCCUCCCUUGAUAUGUGUACUACUCAGCACUCGUUAUAGCUCUGGUCUGUAAUAAGUAACUUGAUCCUACUUUCUAAAUAAAUGUAAGUUUAUGCAAUCGCUUCCGCAUCUCUAUAUCUCCGAUGUUCUGUAAUGUCUGCAAGACGGGUGAAACGUUCCUGGUAAGGUAAGAAAGAAGAUACCGAACUUGUCGAGUGAUUCAGGAACAUCUACAGGGUUGUCUGAUGUCUGUUGGAUAAGGACAACUGUAGGUGGGCCUAAUUACUUGGGAGGUUCCGUCACAGCUGGUAUCGGAGCGUAGCCCUUCUUUGCAGAUAUUAUGUGGCAUCUUCAAAAGGAUUUUCUAAAAUUCUUACCUAGAAACUUUCUUCCUUUCUUACCUAAGUAUUCUGAAGAGUUUAUCUUAAAAGACCAGAUAGGAAGAGUGCAACGUAUAGAAGGAUGAAUCAACUAAGGUUGAUUCUGUAUUUACACAUGCAUCAUGUCAUACAAACUUUAAAUUAAACCCCCUAUAUAGCUACCUUGUUCAUACAUUUUUAGUAAGUAGAGUGUUCCGUUGCUCUUCUCUGAAGAUGAAUCAACAAGAAGCCCCUACCGGAGUUGGAGAGUUUCUACGAGAUUUUGGUGUUCCAGUGGUCCUGUGGCGACUACUUCAAGAAUUUGGAUAUACCGAAGCACCUAAGUACCAGUGGUCACGCACUGUUCUUAGAGGACAACCAUGGUAUGAGGUGGUAGUGCGUAUUCCAGAACGUGCUAGAAAGCCAUCUUGGCCACAUUGGAUGUUCCAUGCUGAAGGAAUGACUCCUUGGGAAGGUGCUCAGGUAGCUGCCUUAGAGGCGCUAACAACCAUUUGUUACCAGAAAUGGGAAGAAAUACAAGCCACAUCUAUGAGGUUGUUCCCUGCAGUUGCUUUAAGUGACCCAUUGGUGUAUCAUCACCAGGCCCGAUUAUUGGAAAGCAUUCCUAUUGGGCAGGAUUCUGUAGAAUCGGCAUCUGCUCGAGUAUUGAUGGCCGUGCUAGAGUUGCAACUUACUCGAGGGCACAGUCGUCAAAAGUGGCAGCAGUUGUACACUGGGAGUUAUGCAACAUUUAAGAUGAUGGAAAUGGCCAAGAAUAGGGCUUGUACCCAGGCACAAGAACGACUUGAGGAAACAAAGGUUCAAGCGAAACAGAUUAUUGGACUAGAGCAUCCGGUGACAGGACUUCAGACGCAACACCAAGCUGAUCAGAAUCGCAUUAAGGAGCUUGAGCAUCAGCUAGUUAAUGCUCAUUCUAAAUCAAAAGUUCUGAGUCAGCAACAAGAAGAAAUUCGCUUGGAUGUUAUUGCUGUUAGCGAAGACCUUAAGGAAACCCUAAGCUUCAUAAGCCAUCAAGAUUAGGCGAUCCAGGAAUUGAAUCGUGCUCAUCCAAUGGAAUUUCAAGUAGCACAACGGCUUGUCAACCAUCUGCUGCAAACAGUGCAUAGGCUCAAUGUUGCCUUUUAUCCUACUCCUGCAUCAGCGGACUAAGGGUUCCUUGGAAGGAUGGCAACAAGCAUCUGGCAGGUGGUGUAGCUAGAGAAGAUGUAGUAGGUAACUGGGAGUGUAGCGAAGUAGAUCAAUGUAGUAAGGUAGGUGUAAGAUAGACCUGCUUGGUAAUAAAAACAGGUUAAACUUUGUUGGAAAGAGUUUUCCUGUUCCACCUGGAUCAUGUAACAUGCGAGCUUUUCUAUGACUAUGGUGUAAGAAACGACUGCCUGUUUCAGAAGCAACUUUUAAUAUCUAUAGCCGUUGUCGAAUCCCAAGAGUUAAAAUGGCUAUUCCUUUGGAUAUUCCCUGUGGAUGCACGUGUGCGGAUAAAUGACUUAGCACACGCUGAGACCAUAAUUUCUAAUUAUGUUUCGUGAUGAAAUGGUAUCACCUGAUUUCCCAUGUGAGUUUGGACAAAUGGAUAGACUUUAUCCAAAUUAGAUGCAACAUCUUGGAUAAAACACAGAAAGAUAUCAAGUUUUACGGAGUACAGUGGAACUACCCCACAGAAGAUGAAGCCAUGUAGAUGGUCAGAGGGAUAUUUAGAAGACAAAGCCCUUGCCCUAAGUUUUGAGUUUUUGGAAAACCUUAAGGUUUGCGAAUUUUAAACCAACAGUGGCACACCCCCUGUUUGGUAGGAGAAAUUGGGAAAUAAGUUUGUGACACAUUUCCUUUUCCAUUACUAAGCCUGGACUUUUAAAUCUCGGGACGAGAUUUCUUUUAGGGGGGAAGGCUGUAACACCCCUGGUGUUACGUAAACUAAAACUCUGACAUGUCAUCAUAAGCAUCUGCAUUAAUGUGCUUGUUACACCUAGAAUGCAUUUACUAGGUUAAAACUUUACAAAAAGUGUGAUGUUGUGUGUUGAGUAGUGGACUUAGUUAAGGACCUGUUUUAAGCAAAAUGAGGGAAGAUCAUCUCUUGAGCAAGUAACAAAUUGGCUUGGGGUCUUAAAUGUUAAAGGUAAGUCUUAGAGCCUAGAGUAGCCUUGUUUUGGAAUGAUGGUCAAGUGGAAGAAGCACUUAAGAAGCUAGAAUAACUCCAAACCUUAACUUGAGCUUUGCUUGGAAUAGAUGGUUAAGUAAAGGAAAUUCUAAACCAGGACAUUUUGGAUAUGAGCUAUGUGUAUCAAAGAUUGGAUCUUGAGCUAGAGUGUAACUUUGCUCUAGGUGGAGGGAUCAAAGGGAUGAAUCCCUAGAAGAAGCUGAAACACAAAUGAAACUCAUUUGAAACCCUAAAACUAGCCCAAAAGGGGAAUUCAAGAUCUAGAAGGAUUUAGCUAAAAGUCCAUAUAUCAAAGUUGUAGAGCUUGGAAAAGUGGAUAUAUUUCUUAUUUGGAUAUUUCCAAGUUCUGUGAAGAAAAUUGGAGUAAAUCACAAAAGUUCAGUUUUGAGCUCAAAUUGGAAUUGCUGAAAAUAGUAGCAACUAGGCAAUUUUGGUCCUUUAUAACUUCUGAUCUAUAAACAUUUUGAAGAUGGUCAUUAUAACAGAGUUAUAGAGCUACAUGAGUAGUAUAAGUUUGGUUGAGUCACCUAGCUCUAAAGCUAUUUGGAACUUAGAGAAAAACUGGUCCAAAGUAGAGCUAACAGACUUUCUGGAUUUCAGACUUGGUAGAAUUCAGAGUCUGAAUUUCAGCAAUUGGAGCAAACUUUGAGCUAUUGUAGUUUGGAAUCCAAGAGGUUUUGGUUAAUGACCGCUAUAGGAAACUUGUAGAAUAAGUAUAAUAGAACAACUGUUAUUAAGUGUCACAGCCCUGGAACUAUAUACAACUAGGAGAAAAAGGUGUUCAAAGUUGGACUAUCAGCUAGGUGGCUGAAUUCUGAAUUUUCAGAUUUGGAAUGGUAUAUAAGUCUGAAUUUCAGUGAUUGUGACAGACUUUGGAGCUUCCUUGUGCAUAAUCCAUAAGGUUUUGAACUAUGGUUUUUAUAGAGGAAUUGAAGACCAUAUGUUGGGGAACAACUUUCUUCAAGUGUGUUUGGAAUGAUCCUAUACAAAAAGUGGAUAAAAACUUUGCCAAAGUUGGAUUAUCAGGUUGUUGGUGACUUAGUUUAUUCAGAACUGAAAGUCUGAAAUCAAUAUUUUUAGUGCAGUUUUGGAGCUGUGUAGUGUCUGUUCUAGGUGGUUUUAAACCGAAAUUUCUGUAGAAAGUUUGAAGACCAUGUCAUGGGGAACAUGUCUCUUGAAGUGAGUGGGCCUAGUACUGUACAAGGUUGUGAGUAAAAUUGCUCCCAAACUUGCCCUGUCAGAAUUAGUGUAUGCUGUUUCAGAUCUCUGAAACUGAGUUUUUAGUGUUUUUCUUUAGAUUUUGGAGCUUGUUUGUGAUUGAUCCAAGGGGUUUAAGCCUAAGGUCCCUGUGGAGAAGUGGUAGAGAGUCAUUUGGUCGACAAGUUUUGUUAAACUUGCUCCCCCUGUUGCCAUGGAAAACUGAGAGUUUGCAGGGGGUCAACAGGGAGGUGUGCAGAUAAAACAAUAGGCUGAUGCAGUUGAGUUCAGUGUGGUAUAUGGAAUCUGAAGAAGAUCUGUUGCUUUUUGCUAGUGCCACUCGAGUAUGGGAUGGAGAUAAGAUUGAGAUACAUCACUAAAAGUCUAGAGACCACUCCCCACUAAAAUAUCCAAGGAUUUUGGACUGUUUUGGAGCAGUGAGCUAUGGACAGCAGAAUCCCUGUUGAUUUUGUUUGCUGCCUGCAGUAAUGGACAAAACUGAUAUUUAGGAUUAAGAUAAGGAUGAACUGGACAGCAAAUUUAGUGGCCUCAUCCCUGUACGAAAUAUCAAGUGUUAGACCUGUUUGAGCCUAUCCUCAAGUGGGAUAUUUUUGGGUUCCUAGCUGCCCUCUCUUAUCUGCAGUAGGAGACAAAAAUUGAUAUUUUGACCAUAUAAGAUGGACCAAGUUCUGUGUCUUUGUCUGUGCUGUGAAUCUGCAUGAUAGUAGUGCAUGGGAGCCACGUCUUUGAGUCCAUGUUGUGCUGGCACACUGGAAAACACAUCCCCUCUGCAGGUUUGCCAAGUUCAGAGAACACCUAUCCCAUUUCAGGUAUUUAAAGGGCAGGGAGCAGUGGAAAUCUCCUCUCUACCUCGAGCUCUACUCGCAUACCACUGCAUGGGUGUUGGGGUUCUUGUAUCCCUGCUAGUGAUGACCCUCUCCCACAGCCACCAAGUCUGCUCUGUCCAGAGAAUCAAGUGCCAGUGGUGACCAUGCUCACAAUUCUUUACCCCACCAUAGCCAGAACAUUCUAGGGAGUUGCUGGCCUAUAUGAAGCUUGUUCCAUAAUCAUCUCAGGUCAGUGAAGCUCACACCAAUUACUACUUGAACUCUACCACUAUUGGUUGCCUGGAACUAGGUGUGAAAUUUGGUCUAAAAUAGGGUUGUCAGAUUUCAGACUUAGUGCAAAUUCAGAGUCUGAAUUUGUAUGUUUUGGGUGCAGCUUUGGAGCUCUUUGCUGCUCUAUCCAUAGAGCUAUAGCUUAUGGCCACUAUAACAAAGUUAUAAAUCUAUUCUAGGAGUACAAGUUUGAUUGAGUGAUCUGGCCUAAAAACUAUACAGAACUGAUUGUAAAGCUUGCUCAAAACUGGGCCAUCAACUUCUGGGUUUCAGACUUAGCUAAUUGGCUAAUUCUGAAUUUCAGUAAACUUUAGCCAUGUUUGGACCUUUGUAGUGGCUAACCUGUAGGGAAUUAAAUUAGGUCUCUUAUAGCAAAGCAAUAGAGCUAUAGUAGAAGACCAGGUUUGGUUGAAGGCCAUACCCUAGAAGCUAUUUGAAAUUGGAGAAAAGGGUUGGCUAAAGUUGG
rnacentral:lncRNA from 1 species